UCCUUCCUGUGUCGUGUUAGUAAGGUUAUAAGUGUUCCAAUCCUUCCUGUGUCGUGUUAGUAAGGUUAUAAGUGUUCCAAUCCUUCCUGUGUCGUGUUAGUAAGGUUAUAAGUGUUCCAAUCCUUCCUGUGUCGUGUUAGUAAGGUUAUAAGUGUUCCAAUCCUUCCUGUGUCGUGUUAGUAAGGUUAUAAGUGUUCCAAUCCUUCCUGUGUCGUGUUAGUAAGGUUAUAAGUGUUCCAAUCCUUCCUGUGUCGUGUUAGUAAGGUUAUAAGUGUUCCAAUCCUUCCUGUGUCGUGUUAGUAAGGUUAUAAGUGUUCCAAUCCUUCCUGUGUCGUGUUAGUAAGGUUAUAAGUGUUCCAAUCCUUCCUGUGUCGUGUUAGUAAGGUUAUAAGUCUUCC